rnacentral:rRNA from 1 species
UGGCUACCACAUCCAAGGAUGGCAGCAGGCGCGCAAAUUACCCACUCCCAGCUUGGGGAGGUAGUGACGAAAAAUAACAAUGCGGGACUCUAAGAGGCCCCGUAAUUGGAAUGAGUACACCUUAAAUCGUUUAACGAGUAUCAAUUGGAGGGCAAGUCUGGUGCCAGCAGCCGCGGUAAUUCCAGCUCCAAUAGCGUAUAUUAAAGUUGCUGCAGUUAAAAAGCUCGUAGUUGGAUCUGGGGCUUGAGGUCGCUGUCUAUCGUUUCGGCGAUGACGGUGAUGCUCAGCUCUGCUUGCCGGUGACUGUUGCGGUGUUCUUCACUGAGCGCUGUAGCAGCACGGCACGUUUACUUUGAAAAAAUUAGAGUGCUCAAAGCGUGCUUGUCGCUUGAAUAAUGUUGCAUGGAAUAAUGGAAUAGGACCUCGGUUCUAUUUUGUUGGUUUUCGGAGCUUGAGGUAAUGAUUAAGAGGGACGAACGGGGGCAUUCGUAUUGCGGUGUUAGAGGUGAAAUUCUUGGAUCGCCGCAAGACGGACUACUGCGAAAGCAUUUGCCAAGAACGCUUUCAUUAAUUAAGAACGAAAGUCAGAGGUUCGAAGACGAUCAGACACCGUCCUAGUUCUGACCAUAAACGAUGCCGACCAGCGAUCCGUAGUGGUUGCUUUAUGGACCCUACGGGCAGCCUCCGGGAAACCAAAGUAUUUGGGUUCCGGGGGAAGUAUGGUUGCAAAGCUGAAACUUAAAGGAAUUGACGGAAGGGCACACCAGGAGUGGAGCCUGCGGCUUAAUUUGACCCAACACGGGAAAACUCACCCGGUCCGGACACCGUAAGGAUUGACAGACUGAUAGCUCUUUCUUGAUUCGGUGGAUGGUGGUGCAUGGCCGUUCUUAGUUGGUGGAGUGAUUUGUCUGGUUAAUUCCGAUAACGAACGAGACUCUAGCCUGCUAAGUAGUGUUGCUAUUGUUAUAUGGUUGACACUUCUUAGAGGGACAAGUGGCAUUUAGCCACGCGAAAUUGAGCAAUAACAGGUCUGUGAUGCCCUUAGAUGUCCGGGGCCGCACGCGCGCUACACUGGAGAAGUCAGCGUGUGUUAUCCAAGUCCGAAAGGACUGGGUAAUCCGUUGGACCUUCUUCGUGCUUGGGACUGUGGCUUGGAACUAUUCCACAUGAACGAGGAAUUCCUAGUAAUUGCAAGUCAUAAGCUUGCGUUGGUUACGUCCCUGCCCUUUGUACACACCGCCCGUCGCUACUACCGAUUGAAUGGUUUAGCAAGGUCCUCGGAUCGUGGCCGUAGGGGCACGCAAGUGUUUCUGCGGUUUGCGAGAAGACGACCAAACUUGAUCAUUUAGAGGAAGUAAAAGUCGUAACAAGGUU